rnacentral:rRNA from 1 species
AGCAGCCGCGGUAAUUCCAGCUCCAAUAGCGUAUAUUAAAGUUGUUGCAGUUAAAAAGCUCGUAGUUGAAUUUCGGGAUCAAUAUAUCGGUCGUGCCUCCGGUAUGCACUGGUAUUAUUGAUUUCUACCUUCUGACGAAUCAUGAUGUCAUUAAUUUGGUGUCAUGGGGAAUCAGGACUGUUACUUUGAAAAAUUAGAGUGUUUAAAGCAGGCACACGCUUGAAUACAUUAGCAUGGAAUAAUGAAAUAGGACGUUUGACCCUAUUUUGUUGGUUUCUAGGAUCGACGUAAUGAUUAAUAGGGAUAGUUGGGGGCAUUAGUAUUCAAUUGUCAGAGGUGAAAUUCUUGGAUUUAUUGAAGACUAACUACUGCGAAAGCAUUUGCCAAGGAUGUUUUCAUUAAUCAAGAACGAAAGUUAGGGGAUCGAAGACGAUCAGAUACCGUCGUAGUCUUAACCAUAAACUAUGCCGACUAGGGAUCGGAUGAUGUUAAUUUUAAUGUACU